rnacentral:rRNA from 1 species
AUUGAACGCUGGCGGCAGGCCUAACACAUGCAAGUCGAGCGAGAGGCGGGCGGGUGAGUAAUGUCUGGGAAACUGCCUGAUGGAGGGGGGUAACUACUGGAAACGGUAGCUAAUACCGCAUACCCUCUGAUGUGCCCAGAUGGGAGUAGCUAGUUGGUGGGGUAACGGCUCACCUAGGCGACGAUCCCUAGCUGGUCUGAGAGGAUGACCAGCCACACUGGAACUGAGACACGGCCCAGACUCCUACGGGAGGCAGCAGUGGGGAAUUUUGGACAAUGGGGGAAAGCCUGAUGCAGCCAUGCCGCGUGUGUGAUGAAGGCCUUCGGGUUGUAAAGUACUUUCAGCGGGGAGGCGUUACCUGCAGAAGAAGCACCGGCUAACUCCGUGCCAGCAGCCGCGGUAAUUC